CCCGAAGCUAACGCGAUAAAUCGACCGCCUGGGGAGUACGGCCGCAAGGUAAAACUCAAAUGAAUUGACGGGGGCCGCACAAGCGGUGGAGCAUGUGGUUUAAUUCGAUGCAACGCGAAGAACCUUACCUGGUCUUGACAUCCAGAGAAUUUAGCAGAGAUGUGUUAGUGCCUUCGGGAACUAUGAGACAGGUGCUGCAUGGCUGUCGUCAGCUCGUGUUGUGAAAUGUUGGGUUAAGUCCCGCAACGAGCGCAACCCUUAUCCUUUGUUGCCAGCACGUUAUGGUGGGAAUUCAAAGGAGACUGCCGGUGAUAAACCGGAGGAAGGUGGGGAUGACGUCAAGUCAUCAUGGCCCUUACGAGCAGGGCUACACACGUGCUACAAUGGCGUAUACAAAGAGAAGCGAAGGUGCGAGAUCGAGCGGAUCUCAUAAAGUACGUCUAAGUUCGGAUUGGAGUCUGCAACUCGACUCCAUGAAGUCGGAAUCGCUAGUAAUCGUAGAUCAGAAUGCUACGGUGAAUACGUUCCCGGGCCUUGUACACACCGCCCGUCACACCAUGGGAGUGGGUUGCACCAGAAGUAGAUAGCUUAACCGCGAGGGGGGCGUUUACCACGGUGUGAUUCAUGACUGGGGUGAAGUCGUAACAAGGUAACCA
rnacentral:rRNA from 1 species